rnacentral:rRNA from 1 species
GGUUGAUCCCGCCGGACCUGACUGCUAUCGGAUUGAUACUAAGCCAUGCGAGUCUUUGUAGUAAUACAAGGCAGACGGCUCAGUAACACGUAGUCAACCUACCCUAUGGACAAGAAUAAUCUCGGGAAACUGGGCAUAAUUCUUGAUAGAUCAUAAUGCCUGGAAUGGUUUAUGGUUAAAAUGAUUCGUCGCCAUAGGAUGGGACUGCGGCCUAUCAGCUUGUUGGUGAGGUAAUGGCCCACCAAGGCGAUUACAGGUACGGGCUCUGAGAGGAGAAGCCCGGAGAUGGGUACUGAGACACGGACCCAGGCCCUAUGGGGCGCAGCAGGCGAGAAAACUUUGCAAUGUGCGAAAGCACGACAAGGUUAAUCCGAGUGAUUUCUGCUAAAGAAAUCUUUUGCCAGUCAUAAAACCACUGGUGAAUAAGGGGUGGGCAAGUUCUGGUGUCAGCCGCCGCGGUAAAACCAGCACCUCAAGUGGUCGGGAUGAUUAUUGGGCCUAAAGCAUCCGUAGCCGGCUUUGUUAGUUUUCGGUUAAAUCCAUGUGCUCAACGCAUGGGCUGCCGAAAAUACUGCAUAGCUAGGGAGUGGGAGAGGUAGACGGUACUCAGUAGGAAGGGGUAAAAUCCUUUGAUCUAUUGAUGACCACCUGUGGCGAAGGCGGUCUACCAGAACACGUUCGACGGUGAGGGAUGAAAGCUGGGGGAGCAAACCGGAUUAGAUACCCGGGUAGUCCCAGCUGUAAACGAUGCAGACUCGAUGAUGCAUUGGCAUAAUAGCCAGUGCAGUGUCGCAGGGAAGCCGUUAAGUCUGCCGCCUGGGAAGUACGUACGCAAGUAUGAAACUUAAAGGAAUUGGCGGGGGAGCACCACAAGGGGUGAAGCCUGCGGUUCAAUUGGAAUCAACGCCGGG